UGUUACCCCCCCGGUAAAGUUUCCUGUCCCCAGCUUUACGACACUUCCCUGCCUAGCGGCUUUCCGAGUGCUCAAAAGGAAGGCGAGGAGGAGAAGGCGGGACAGACCCACCUGGGCUGGCGCGAGGGUAGCAAGGGCGGUUCGCUGCGCUCCAGUCGCGCGGGCCCUUCCCCUUCCCCUCCCUCCGGCAGCUGCUGGGUGGAGUUCCCCGGAGCCGCGGGCGGGGGUGGCGCGGCCGACUCGGGAGUCCUUCCCCCCAUGCCAGCAGCCCGCGCCCCCGCUCACCUUUCCAGUCUCCUUCGCUGGGCAUGAGUGCGAGUGGAGAGCGUGGGGCUGCGGGUCAGAGAUAGUAAGUGCUACAUUUACUAGCAUUGCAAGAUGGAGGACUAUUAGUUCCGCUUCCAGGAGCCGUGAAAAGGUAGUCGCUCUCACUCUCCCCUAUCAACCUCUGAAAACCCAGAAAAUAUCACCCCAGGAAAAAAAACCCUGGAACACCAGAACUAGAAGAAAGACGAGGAGCACCAGUGCAGCAGCCCAGCAAACGGGUCUCCCACUGCCUCAGCAAAAAUAAGGGAGGCAGAACUACAAGGGGCCCUAGGUGGACAAGUACCCUGCAGCAUUCAUCUGAAAGCAGGUGAAGAAAACAACCUAAAGGCUUCCUCAAGCCGGGGCCUUGCUGAUUCCAACCGAAUACCAGGUGAGCUUUAGGAGCCCUGAAGCCUCCAAUUGUGAAGAAAUCCUGAAGCCCAGGUGGUAGAGCAGGGAAACACCAACACCUGGGCCUCCAAGUGCCUCAGUGAGGGCAGGGGGAACCGGUGGAAACCAGCUCAGAAAACCACCAGGAGCCUCGGCACUCCACCAAAGGAAUCUCCCAGUGCAUUAGCAGAAAGAGGGAGACAACACUGCAAGGGGCCCCAGGCAGAUAAACACCCUGCAGCAGCCAUCUAAAAGGAGCUGAAGAAAGCUAAAGGAAAGGAAAAGCAGGCAACCUAGAAUUGCCUGAAAGUUCCAGCCUUGCUGAUUCCAGCCCAACACAAGGUAAGCUGCCAGAAACCUACAGCCUCCAAUUCC
rnacentral:lncRNA from 1 species